AUUGAACGCUGGCGGCAUGCCUUACACAUGCAAGUCGAACGGCAGCACGGGAGCAAUCCUGGUGGCGAGUGGCGAACGGGUGAGUAAUAUAUCGGAACGUGCCCAGUCGUGGGGGAUAACGUAGCGAAAGCUACGCUAAUACCGCAUACGAUCUAUGGAUGAAAGCGGGGGAUCGCAAGACCUCGCGCGAUUGGAGCGGCCGAUAUCAGAUUAGGUAGUUGGUGAGGUAAAGGCUCACCAAGCCGACGAUCUGUAGCUGGUCUGAGAGGACGACCAGCCACACUGGGACUGAGACACGGCCCAGACUCUACGGGAGGCAGCAGUGGGGAAUUUUUGGGACAAUGGACGCAAGUCUGAUCCAGCAAUGCCGCGUGCAGGAUGAAGG
rnacentral:rRNA from 1 species